rnacentral:rRNA from 1 species
AUGGAGAAGGCGCAGAAGCGGGUGGCCAUCGUCGGCGCCGGCGCGAGCGGCCUGGCGGCGUGCAAGCACGCGCUGGAGCGCGGCCUCCGGCCGGUCGUAUUCGAGUCCUCGGGCGCCAUCGGCGGCGUGUGGGCGCGCGCGCUGGCGUCCACGCGCCUGCAGACGCCGCGCACGCUCUACGAGUUCUCCGACUUCCCCUGGCCGCCGGAGGUCGCCGAGGUGUUCCCGGACCACGCCCAGGCCGCGGCGUACCUGCGCUCCUACGCGGAGCGGUUCGGCGUGCUGGACCGCGUCCGGUUCGGAUGCCGCGUGACAGGCAUGGAGUACGCCGGCGUCGGCGAGGACGAGGUCCGGGCGUGGGACCGGUGGGCCGGCGAUGGGUCGGCGUUCGGGGAUGGCCGCGGCCAGUGGCGGCUCACCGUGCAGCAGCAGGGUGCCGGCGACGUCGAGACAUAUGUUGCGGAUUUUGUGAUCCUGUGCGCCGGGAGAUUCAGCGGCAUCCCGAAUAUACCCACAUUCCCUCCCGACAAAGGGCCGGAGAAGUUCGACGGCACGGUGAUCCACUCCAUGGACUACUCCGACAUGGGCACCGAAAAGGCCACCGAGCUCAUCAGGGGCAAGCUCGUCACCGUCGUCGGCUACCAGAAGUCCGCUAUCGACAUCGCUGCAGAGUGCGCAAACACAAACGGAGCCAAGUAUCCAUGCACAAUAAUAUGUCGAACGAAGAGGUGGAUCAUACCCGACUACUACGCUUGGGGCGUUCCCAUUGCAUUCUUCUACCUCAACCGCUUCUCGGAGCUCCUAGUACACAAGCCAGGAGAGGGGCUGCUCCUUAGCAUUCUUGCUACCUUCUUAUCACCCUUGAGAUGGUUGUUCUCGAAGUUCGUCGAGAGCUACUACAGAUGGGCGGUGCCCAUGGAUAAGCACGGCAUGGUGCCAGACCACAGUUUCUUCCAGGCCAUCAGCUCUUGCUUGGUUGCAAUAUUGCCAGACAAGUUCUAUGACAUGGUUGAUCAAGGAAGCAUUGUUCUCAAGAAAGCAAAGAGCUUCAGCUUCUGCAAACAAGGUGUGAUUGUCGAAGGUGAUUCCGCGCCGAUAAAGAGCGACGUGGUCAUAUUCGCCACCGGAUACAAGGGAGACCAAAAGCUAAAGGAGAUGUUGGCAUCAUCCUUGUUCAGAGACAUUGUGACUGGCCCACCAUCCAGUAUUAUUCCUCUCUACAGGCAAUGCGUGCAUCCUAGGAUCCCACAGCUGGCGAUCAUCGGCUACUCCGAGAGCAUAGCAAACCUGCACACAUUCGACAUGCGCUCCAAAUGGUUGGCGCAUUUCCUUGACGGGGUGUUUCAGUUGCCUAGCAUAAAAUCUAUGGAGAUGGAUAUAAAGGAAUGGGAUGAAUACAUGAAGAGGUACUCUCGUGAAUACUUCCGUCGAUCUUGCGUUGGAGCUCUCCACAUCUGGUACAAUGACCAGUUGUGCCAGGACAUGGGGUGUGAACCCAGGAGGAAGAAAGGGUUCUUUGCAGAUUGGCUGUUGCCAUAUCUUCCAUCAGAUUACAAGGAUGUCGGUCUGAAGAAGUGA